GAUGAACGCUGGCGGCGUGCCUAAUACAUGCAAGUAGAACGCUGAAGCUUGGUGCUUGCACCGAGCGGAUGAGUUGCGAACGGGUGAGUAACGCGUAGGUAACCUGCCUGGUAGCGGGGGAUAACUAUUGGAAACGAUAGCUAAUACCGCAUAACAGUAGAUAUUGCAUGAUAUCUGCUUGAAAGGUGCAAAUGCAUCACUACCAGAUGGACCUGCGUUGUAUUAGCUAGUUGGUGAGGUAACGGCUCACCAAGGCGACGAUACAUAGCCGACCUGAGAGGGUGAUCGGCCACACUGGGACUGAGACACGGCCCAGACUCCUACGGGAGGCAGCAGUAGGGAAUCUUCGGCAAUGGGGGGAACCCUGACCGAGCAACGCCGCGUGAGUGAAGAAGGUUUUCGGAUCGUAAAGAUCUGUUGUAAGAGAAGAACGAGUGUGAGAGUGGAAAGUUCACACUGUGACGGUAUCUUACCAGAAAGGGACGGCUAACUACGUG
rnacentral:rRNA from 1 species